GCAGAAAUUAGUUCUAAACGCUUCCGAAUCGAACAGGCCGAACAUACAGCGUGAAACGUCCUGAAUUUGGGGAACUUUUAAAAUUGAAAUGCGAUCUACAAUUUAUGCAGCGAUGGAAUAUUUUAACACAAAUGAUUUCGCAAAGGAUUUGUACUACAAAUUACGGACGGACACCUUUGAUGAUAUUCUUUAAAAUAUUGUAUAAAUAGCUUAACGGAACUUCUGGGAAAAUAUGGUGCUUACUUCUAUGCGAUUUAUUUGGGAUUUUUCCAAAGCCAUUGAAAA